rnacentral:rRNA from 1 species
UGGGGAAUCUUGGACAAUGGGGGCAACCCUGAUCCAGCCAUGCCGCGUGAGUGAUGAAGGCCUUAGGGUCGUAAAGCUCUUUCGCCUGUGAAGAUAAUGACGGUAGCAGGUAAAGAAACCCCGGCUAACUCCGUGCCAGCAGCCGCGGUAAUACGGAGGGGGUUAGCGUUGUUCGGAAUUACUGGGCGUAAAGCGCACGUAGGCGGACCAGAAAGUUGGGGGUGAAAUCCCGGGGGCUCAACCCCGGAACUGCCUCCAAAACUAUUGGUCUAGAGUUCGAGAGAGGUGAGUGGAAUUCCAAGUGUAGAGGUGAAAUUCGUAGAUAUUUGGAGGAACACCAGUGGCGAAGGCGGCUCACUGGCUCGAUACUGACGCUGAGGUGCGAAAGUGUGGGGAGCAAACAGGAUUAGAUACCCUGGGUAGUCCACACCGUAAAACGAUGAAUGCCCAGUCGUCGGGUAGCAUGCUAUUCGGUGACACACCU